rnacentral:rRNA from 1 species
UACGUAGGGUGCGAGCGUUGUCCGGAAUUAUUGGGCGUAAAGGGCUCGUAGGCGGUCUGUUGCGUCAGGAGUGAAAACUCGGGGCUUAACCCCGAGCCUGCUUCUGAUACGGGCAGACUAGAGUUCUGUAGAGGAGAUUGGAAUUUACGGUGUAGCAGUGAAAUGCGUAGAUAUCGUAAGGAACGCCAGUGGCGAAAGCGAAUCUCUGGGCAGCAACUGACGCUGAGGCACGAAGGCCAGGGGAGCAAACGGG